AGUUUAAUCCAAUUCUGACUCUAUCUACCAGGAGUUAAUGGCAAAUCCCACAAGAGUUCAUUUGGCUGCCAAAUGAAUGGAGAAGAUAAAUGUUGCUUGGAUCAAGAAGUAAGCAAGCUCUGAGAACAAUCGAGUAUAAGUCUUUCCUUUUCUGUCCUCUUUUACCUGUUUUAUGACCAUGAAUUCCAUUAUCGGAAUGCAUAGUUUAAUUCUGAUUCCACUAUCAUGUAACCAUUUUAAGCCUCUGUUUCUUUAUCUGUAAAAUGAGAUUAUGACUAUAAAGAGUAAAUUAUAUCAUGUCUGUAAAACAUAAAAUAUGAUGCUGAGCACAUAC